UACGAAGGGGGCUAGCGUUGCUCGGAAUCACUGGGCGUAAAGGGUGCGUAGGCGGGUCUUUAAGUCAGGGGUGAAAUCCUGGAGCUCAACUCCAGAACUGCCUUUGAUACUGAAGAUCUUGAGUUCGGGAGAGGAGAGUGGAAUAGCCAGUGUAGAGGUGAAAUUCGUAGAUAUUGGCUGGAACACCGGUGGCGAAAGCGGCUCUCUGGCCCGGUUCUGACGCUGAGGCGCGAAAGCGUGGGGAGCAAACAGG
rnacentral:rRNA from 1 species